rnacentral:lncRNA from 1 species
AGGCCUUGUCUGUUGUUGAUUCUUGUUGGAAGGAAGGUGCAAACAAUUGCGCCGCAUUCCGUUUGAGAAGGUUUGUGUCAAGUCUCGAGGCAACCCUACUCACAAUUCUAGCAUCGCUUUGGAUGGCUUUUUCAUCUUCGGAAUGUAUGCUCUUUGAAUGAUGGUAGCUAGCGUUAUCUACAUGAAUAAAUCAUCAAAAUUAGGACGUGGUGAAAGAAUCAGACGUUCUCAAUGUUGACGAGGCUUAGGGUUUAGGGCUAGCAGGUCGUUUCAAGGAUUAUUGGUGUAACGAAAUCGAACCGUGCGAUGUAUACAGGAUAUUGAGAAAUAUUAUAACUAACUAGCUUAGUUCAUACCUAUAUUAGAUCAUACCAUCAAAUAACUCUGUCAGCAAGCAUUGCAAUCGGACGGGUUAAUCCAAACCGCACCCUACCAC